AUUGAACGCUGGCGGCAGGCUUAACACAUGCAAGUCGAGCGAGCGGCGGACGGGUGAGUAAUGUCUGGGAAACUGCCUGAUGGAGGGGGAUAACUACUGGAAACGGUAGCUAAUACCGCAUACCAUCAGAUGUGCCCAGAUGGGAUUAGCUAGUAGGUGGGGUAAUGGAUCACCUAGGCGACGAUCCAUCGCUGGUCUGAGAGGAUGACGAGCAACACUGGAAGUGGGAAAAGGUCCAGACUCCUACGUGAGGCAGCAGGUGGGAAUAUUGCACAAUGGGCGAAAGCCUGAUGCAGCCAUGCCGCGUGUGUGAAGAAGGCCUACGGGUUGUAAAGCACUUUCAGCGAGGAGGCGUUACUCGCAGAAGAAGCACCGGCUAACUCCGUGCCAGCAGCCGCGGUAAUUC
rnacentral:rRNA from 1 species